GAUGAACGCUGGCGGCGUGCUUAACACAUGCAAGUCGAACGGAAAGGCUCCUGCUUGCAGGGGUACUCGAGUGGCGAACGGGUGAGUAACACGUGGGUGAUCUGCCCUGCACUUCGGGAUAAGCCUGGGAAACUGGGUCUAAUACCGGAUAGGACGAUGGUUUGGAUGCCAUUGUGGAAAGUUUUUCGGUGUGGGAUGAGCUGGCGGCCUAUCAGCUUGUUGGUGGGGUAAUGGCCUACCAAGGCGUCGACGGGUAGCCGGCCUGAGAAGGUGUACGGCCACAUUGGGACUGAGAUACGGCCCAGACUCCUACGGUAGGCAGCAGUGGGGAAUAUUGCACAAUGGGCGCAAGCCUGAUGCAGCGACGCCGCGUGGGGGAUGACGGCCUUCGGGUUGUAAACUCCUGUCGCUAGGGACGAAGCUCAAGUGACGGUACCUGGAGAAGAAGCACCGGCUAACUACGUG
rnacentral:rRNA from 1 species